GCCGGCGACCGGCGCACGGGUGAGUAACGCGUAUGCAACUUACCUAUCAGAGGGGGAUAACCCGGCGAAAGUCGGACUAAUACCGCAUGAAGCAGGGGCCCCGCAUGGGGAUAUUUGCUAAAGAUUCAUCGCUGAUAGAUAGGCAUGCGUUCCAUUAGGCAGUUGGCGGGGUAACGGCCCACCAAACCGACGAUGGAUAGGGGUUCUGAGAGGAAGGUCCCCCACAUUGGUACUGAGACACGGACCAAACUCCUACGGGAGGCAGCAGUGAGGAAUAUUGGUCAAUGGGCGUAAGCCUGAACCAGCCAAGUCGCGUGAGGGAUGAAGGUUCUAUGGAUCGUAAACCUCUUUUAUAAGGGAAUAAAGUGUGGGACGUGUCCUAUUUUGUAUGUACCUUAUGAAUAAGGAUCGGCUAACUCCGUGCCAGCAGCCGCGGUAAUACGGAGGAUCCGAGCGUUAUCCGGAUUUAUUGGGUUUAAAGGGUGCGUAGGCGGCCUUUUAAGUCAGCGGUGAAAGUCUGUGGCUCAACCAUAGAAUUGCCGUUGAAACUGGGGGGCUUGAGUAUGUUUGAGGCAGGCGGAAUGCGUGGUGUAGCGGUGAAAUGCUUAGAUAUCACGCAG
rnacentral:rRNA from 1 species